rnacentral:rRNA from 1 species
GACGAACCGUGCGAACGUUGUUCGGAUUCACUGGGCUUAAAGGGCGCGUAGGCGGGCCGGCAAGUCCGGGGUGAAAUCCCACGGCUCAACCGUGGAAUAGCCUUGGAUACUGCCGGUCUCGAGGGAGGUAGGGGCGUGUGGAACUUCCGGUGGAGCGGUGAAAUGCGUAGAUAUCGGAGGGAACACCAGUGGCGAAAGCGGCUUCCUGGUCCGACACCGACGUUCAGGCACGAAAGCGUGGGGAGCAAACAGG